rnacentral:rRNA from 1 species
AACUGUUUUAGUAUAAAUUUAUUAAAAAUAUAAAUCUAAAAAAAUAUUUAAAUUUAAAAAAUAAUACUUAUUUGAGACGUUCAUCACACAAUUUUCCUAGCUAAAACUUAGUAGAUAAAUAUAUAAAAGACAAAUAGUUACACAAAUAUAAAAUUAUUACUAUUUUCCAUAGAGUGCACUUUUUUAACAAUAGAAAGUUAAAAUUAUUUUUAAUAAUAUUACACAAAUAUAAUAUAUUAUUUAUUAUAUGUAAUAAAAUUAAAAAAUAUUUUAUUAUUCAGCACAAAUAAUAAAGAUUAGGUAUUUUCAUCAUUAAUUGAAAAAAAUUCAUUUUUAUAAGCAGUUAAAAAAUCUAAAAUAUAUAAAAAUAUAACUUAUUUUUUAAUUAUGGCUAUUCAACGUCAAAAACUCGAACUCCCAUCUGGACAUAAUAAAUUAUUACUCCAUUCUUGCUGUGCUCCCUGCUCUGGAGAAGUAAUGGAGUCAUUAAUUGAGUCUAAUAUAAACUUUUCUAUAUUCU